rnacentral:rRNA from 1 species
CCUACGGGGGACAGCAGUGAGGAAUAUUGGUCAAUGGUCGGGAGACUGAACCAGCCAAGCCGCGUGAGGGAUGAAGGUACAGAGUAUCGUAAACCUCUUUUGUCAGGGAACAAAGGCGGGGACGUGUCCCCGGAUGAGUGUACCUGAAGAAAAAGCAUCGGCUAACGCCGUGCCAGCAGCCGCGGUAAUACGGAGGAUGCGAGCGUUAUCCGGAUUUAUUGGGUUUAAAGGGUGCGCAGGCGGUCUGUUAAGUCAGCGGUAAAAGCCCGGGGCUCAACCCCGGCCCGCCGUUGAAACUGGCAGUCUCGAGUUGGAGAGAAGUAUGCGGAAUGCGCGGUGUAGCGGUGAAAUGCAUAGAUAUCGCGCAGAACUCCGAUUGCGAAGGCAGCAUGCCGGCUCCACACUGACGCUGAGGCACGAAAGCGUGGGUAUCGAACAGGAUUAGAUACCCUAGUAGUC